CUGUGGUCAAAUAUUCCUUCCUCAUGAAGAUAUUAGUAUCACUCCAACUAUGUCUUUUGUUUUCCCUUCUCUUUGUUGUGACUAUUAAUGCACAAGACGAGGCAAAUUAUAUGUCCCAACUUUUGAAAGCAUUGACCCCAACUCCUUCUGGCUGGUCUAACAACACUCAUCACUGCAAUUGGACUGGCAUCGUCUGCCAAUCUAGUCAAGUUGUGGCCAUCAAGCUCACUCAGUGGUACACUCCCUAAUCUCACCUAUAUUGAUCUCCACAACAACUCACUCACCGGUUCUUUACCUUCUAUGUUUGCUCUCUUUUCGCUCGAAACCAUUUACCUUGGUCACAAUAACUUCACCUCCAUUCCAGGUCAUUGCUUUCAAUUGUUACUAGGGAUGCAAACUCUCAACCUUAGUAAUAACUUGAAUCUCAAGCCAUGGUUAUUUCCUGAGGCUGAGGAUUUAGGUUAUUCUGAGUUGAUGCACACCCUUGAUCUUGAAGCUACAAAUAUCUUAGGUCCAUUGCCAUCAGACGUGUUCGAUUGGUUUCCAAGAUUGCAUACUGUUUCUCUCUCUCACAACAACAUCCGUGGAACACUUCCCCUGUCUCUUGGAAAAUCUGUAGUAAGGUAUUUACGACUCAACAAACCAAGACAGAUUGAAUGGGUUUACGGGUACAAUUGAAGUGAUAUCGUCUAUGAGAUUUUUGUCUCAAGCGUGGCUUAACAACAACGCGUUCACUGGUACAAUUCCUAACAUGUCAAAUUCCACUCAUUUGUUUGAUCUCCAACUUCACUCAAAUGGUUUAAUAGGUUUGGUUCCAUCUUCGUUGUUCUCUCUCCCUAGCUUGACCAACAUCUCUUUGGACAACAAUAAUCUUGAAGGACCAAUACCUAUGUUUCACAAGCGUGUUAAGGCAACUUGGGAAUCAAAUAACUUUUGUCGUAGCAAUGUUGGACCUUGUGAUCCCCAGGUUAUGGUUAUGCUUGAAAUUUUUGCAGCUCUUGGGCAUCCUGAAUUUUCCAGAAUUAAAGGGAAUGAUGUUUGUACCGACGGGGUAUUCCUUAGGUGUCGAAGAGGGAAGAUUGUGAGCGUUGAUUUUAGGGGUCAAUAUUUAAAUGGAGCUAUCUCUCCAGCAUUUUCUAAUUUAACAAGUUUAGUGAACUUGACUUUAACUAACAAUAAUUUUACGGGUUCCAUACCAAAGAGUCUUACGACUUUACCUCAACUUCAGUUACUUGACGUUUCUCGUAAUAAUCUAUCUGGACAAAUUCCUAAAUUUUCAUCCAAGGUCAAGUUGAUUACCAGAGGAAAUGCUUUUCUUGGGCUAAAUGUUUCUCGACAAGGUGAAGGAGAAAAAGCAGCUGCUUCUCGUAAUGGAGGACCAUCUAAAACAAAAGUACUUAUACCUCUUUGGAUUGUAGGGGCAUUCUUGUUUAGUGUUGGAUUUGUAAUAUUUAUUGUAGUUAUUUGUAAAUAUAAGAGGUAUCCAAUUUUGGAAAAGAUGCGGAUCUUCAACAAAACAAAAAAAUCUAUUGACUACAAUGUGGAGGCUUUCAUGCAAAGUUAUAAUUUGUCGGUGCCAAUCAAACAAUAUGGAUAUGCAGAAGUGAAAAGAAUGACAAACUCAUUUCGAGAUAAAUUAGGUUAAGGAGGAUAUGGUGUCGUGUACAAAGCAAGUUUACCUGAUGGUUGUCAAGUGGCGGUUAAAGUAAUAAACGAAUCUAAGGGAGAUGGAGAAGAAUUCAUAAAUGAAGUUGCUAGCAUUAGUAGAACAUCACAUGUGAACAUUGUCUCACUUUUGGGUUUCUGUUAUGAGAACAAAAGAGCACUAAUAUAUGAAUUCAUGCCAAAUGGUUCACUAGACAAGUUCAUCUUUAAAAGUGGAUUUCCUAGUGCACUUUGUAAUUUGGAUUGGAACACGUUGUACCGAAUUGCAAUAGGCAUAGCUAGAGGACUCGAAUACUUGCAACAAGGAUGUAUUUCAAGGAUUUUGCAUCUUGAUAUAAAACCCAAAACAUUCUUUUGGAUGAAGAUUUUUGCCCAAAAAUCUCUGAUUUUGGACUAGCUCAAAUAUGCCAAAGGAAGGAUAGUAUUGUGUCCAUACUUGGCACAAGGGGAACUAUAGGAUACAUAGCUCCUGAAGUAUUUAGCAGAGUGUUUGGUGGAGUUUCUCACAAGUCUGAUGUAUAUGGUAUGUUAAUUUUAGAAAUGAUUGGUGGAAGAAAGAACUAUGACACAGGAGGGUCGUGUACUUCUGAAAUGUACUUUCCAGAUUGGAUUUAUAAUGAUCUUGAGCUAAGUAAUAACUUUGUGAAUGGUUUAGCAAACUCCGAGGAAGAAACUGAUAUGGUAAGAAAGUUAACUAUGGUUAGUCUAUGGUGCAUUCAAACGAACCCAUUAGAUAGACCAUCGAUGAGUAAAGUAUUAGAAAUGCUACAAGGACCACUUGAUUCAGUGCCAUACCCUCCAAAGCCUAUUCUAUAUUCUCCUAAAAUGCCAUCAUUACAAAGUUCAUAUGCGUCUUCCAGCAAUUUGUUAGAGAAAAAUUCAAUAACAUUACUGAAGAAUGAUAUUAGUGAAAAUGUGACUGUAUUGUAAUUAUCUUGUUGGUAUAACUUGAGUACAACAUUGCGAAUCCUUUUGUUGAACAACAAAACUAUUCAUAUAUAUUUAGUAGGUAAAUUUUUAACUAC